AGAACGAACGCUGGCGGCAUGCCUAAUACAUGCAAGUCGAACGAACACUUCGGUGUUAGUGGCGCACGGGUGCGUAACGCGUGGGAAUCUGCCCUUGGGUUCGGAAUAACAGUUGGAAACGACUGCUAAUACCGGAUGAUAUCGAAAGAUCAAAGAUUUAUCGCCCAGGGAUGAGCCCGCGUAGGAUUAGCUAGUUGGUGAGGUAAAGCUCACAAGGCGACGAUCCUUAGCUGGUCUGAGAGGAUGAUCAGCCACACUGGGACUGAGACACGGCCCAGACUCCGUACGGGAGCAGCAGUAGGAAUAUUGGACAAGUGGGCGCAAGCCUGACUCCAGCAA
rnacentral:rRNA from 1 species